rnacentral:lncRNA from 2 species
CGCCGGCCUCUAUCUCCGCCGCUGCUGGGCGCCGGCCUCCGUCUCCACCGCCGCCGGGCGCCGCUCACCGCGCCGGCUUCCUCCCCCUUCGCCGCUUGCCGUGCCGGCAUCCGUCUCCACCGUUGCCAGGCGCGGGAGCGGUGGAUCCGCUGCCGCCGGCGCCUCUCGGGCCCGGAGGGGGCGUGCAGCGCAGCAUCCGGGGCAGCCACCGGUGACGUGAAUCGAGGUGGAAGAAGCACCGGCGAGGGAGAGCUCCGACGAGUCCUCCUCGUCCUCCUUCUCCAGCAGCAGGUCAGGGCGCAGAUCCCCUCCCAGCAGCGCGCCUGCUUCCUACAUCUCGCGAGCUCCGUCCAUCGAGAGGCUGCUCGAGGAGGACGCCGCACUGCUGCACGCAUAUCUUCAAAACUGAAUAAUGUUUUAAUCCAUUUGCCAACAAAAAGAAAAAGAGGUGCAGAAAACAGCUUACUUGGGGGAUACCAUGGAUCAUGCUUGAUUUGA